rnacentral:rRNA from 1 species
AGGACGAACGCUGGCGGCGUGCUUAACACAUGCAAGUCGAGCGGAAAGGCCCUUCGGGGUACUCGAGCAGCGAACGGGUGAGUAACACGUGAGCAACCUGCCCUUAGCUUCGGGAUAGCUCCGGGAAACCGGAAUUAAUACCGAAUAUGACUUUGGCUGACAUCAGCAGGAGUGGAAAGUUUUUCGGCUAGGGAUGGACUCGCGGCCUAUCAGCUAGUUGGUGAGGUAACGGCCCACCAAGGCGACGACGGGUA